rnacentral:rRNA from 1 species
UACGGGGGGGGGCAAGCGUUGUUCGGAAUUACUGGGCGUAAAGGGCGCGUAGGCGGUUUGCUAAGUUGGAUGUGAAAACUCUGGGCUUAACCCAGAGCCUGCAUCCAAAACUGGCAAACUUGAGUACUGGAGGGGAAAGCGGAAUUCCUGGUGUAGCGGUGAAAUGCGUAGAUAUCAGGAGGAACACCGGUGGCGAAGGCGGCUUUCUGGACAGUAACUGACGCUGGAGGCGCGAAAGCUAGGGGAGCAAACAGG